rnacentral:lncRNA from 10 species
AGGGCUGUUGUUUUUGCCUGUCAUGGAGUUCCGUUCAUUCUGAACAUGUCACCGGGGACUUUGGAAUGUGUAUCCAUAACUCCCUGAUUUUCAACCACAUUCCAGCCUGCCUGACUCAUGAAGCGUGGAGCGACCCAGGAACAUCCCAGCUCCUCAUGUCCCACAUUCUUCAGGCUUUCUCUUAGUUUUGGCAUGUGCAUGUAAAUGUCAACAGCUGCUUCUGCUGACUCCUCGUCUCAAUUAAUCGCGGCUCUGUCUUCCGUUUGCUGAAGCCGAAGACCUCCCCGCUCUCUCAGAGCCCAUGUCUGGCACAUCAGCGAAUCUCGUUGGCACUGCCGUCAAACACAUCCAUCUAGGAUCUCCCCGCACUUCACGCCACCCACCGCGCUAGUCUGUGGAUCCCUGUUUCUCUCUUGGAUGUAGUAAUAGUCACAUAGCUGGACUUCUGCCCUGGCACUUCUUCAGCCCCUUGUUAGAGGAAUCCUGCUAAAUGUUGGAUGAUUUACCCCCCACCUCCCGCACCCCCCGCCACACACACAUAGGAGCUCCACUGGCUCCUCAUAACUCUCAGGGUGCCAGCCUGUCUCUGCCAUGACCCGAAAGCUCUCCGUCAUCUGUCUCCCGCCCCUCCCUCACUGACUCUAUCUGCCACCCUCUCCCUGUUGUCCACGCUGCCCCAGCCCCACAGGCCUCCUCCUGUUCCUCAGACUCCCCAGGGAUACUCCUGCCUCAGGGCCUUUGCCCUGGCUAUUCCCUCCAGCUACAAUGCUCUUCCUGAAUCUGCAUGAUUCGAUGCCCACUCCCCCAUUCUCAGCCUGUCCCCACAUCUCAGUGAGCCCUGCCCGGGCCACCCUGGAAAAUCUCAGCAUCCCAGGCUGGGCGUGGUGGCUCAUGCCUGUAAUCUCAGCACCUUGGGAGGCCAAGGCAGGCAGAUUGCUUGAGCUCAGGAGUUUGAGACCAGCCUGGCCAACAUGGCGAAACCCCAUCUCUCCUAAAAAUACAAAAAUUAGCUGAGUGUGGUGGUGCGUGCCUGUAAUCACAGCUACUUGGGAGGCUGAGGCAGCAGAAUCGAUUGAACCUGGGAGGCAGAGGUUUCAGUGAGCCGAGAUCAUGCCACUGCACUCCAGCCUGGGCGACAGAGCGAGACUCCAUCUAACACACACAAAAAAAGCACUUUUUUUUCAUCCUCCCAGCACUUCUUGUCCUCCUUGCUUCCCUUGUUUUUUUUUUUUUUCACAUUCACACAUAUGAUGAUCCAGCAUUCUACAUAUUUUAUUUAUCUUAUUUAUUUUCAGUCUUCUCCACUCAAAUGUAUGAUAUUUAAGGCAGGGGUUUUAAAAUGUCUUGUUCUUGGCCAGGCAUGGUGGCUCACACGUGUAAUUCUAGCACUUUGGGAGGCCGAGGCAGGUGGAGCACCUGAGGUCAGGAGUUCAAGACCAGCCUGGUCAACAUGGCGAAACCCCGUCUCUACUAAAAAUACGAAAUUAGCCAGGCGUGGUGGCGGACGCCUGUAAUCCCAGCUAUAAUCCCAGCUACUCAGGAGGCUGAAGCAGGAGAAUCGCUUGAACCUGGGAGGCAGAGCUUGCAGUGAGCCGAGAUCACGCCACUACACUGCAGCCUGGGUGACAGAGUGAGACUCCAUCUCAAAAAACAACAACAAAAUAAAUAAAUAAAUAAAAAUAAAAU